rnacentral:lncRNA from 10 species
GGCCAAAUUGUUCACUUCAGGCUUUUAUUUCAGAUAAAAUAUAUGUACUAUACCAUUUGAUGCAUUGUAUUAAAUAGAAAUAUUUCUGAUACUUUAUAUAUAUUCACUACUUAGUCAUAUUUACUCAUUACCUUUCAUUAUAACUGAAGGUAAAUGGAAGAGAGAAGUGUAGUCUCUCACCAUCGUCACCUUUGUUAUUAUAGGUAUCAUUAAUUAUCAUCAUAUCACAAAGAAUCAAUAUUUAUUGAGCAUUUUCUAAGUGCCAAAAAUUAUGCUUAUAAAAUUACUAUAAAUUGGGAAUUCUUACUAUAACUGACCAAAGUCAUAGAGCUUUCUAGUAUAAUUGGAAUUUAAUUCAAAUCUACCUGACUCCAAAGUUCAUACUUUUGCUAAUAAAUAAAACAUAUAACAUACUUUGGAAUGCAAAAUUCAUCUUUGUAAAGUCACUUAUUUGGAGAAAAAUAUAUUAGUUUUAUAAAAUAGUAAUACAAUAAAACUAUUCAAUGAGAAUAUACAGACAGUCCCCAGCUUAUGAUGGUUUAACUUAGUGAUUUUUCAGCUUUACAAUGAUGUGAAAGUGAUACAUGCUCAGUAGAAACCAUACUUUGAGUAUUCACACAGCCAUUCAGUUUUUCACUUUCACUGCAGUAGUCAAUAAAUUACAUGUGAUAUACAACACCUUAUUGUAAAAUAGACUUGUGUUAGGAUUUCUCCAUAAAAGUUAAUAAUAUCAGGAUAGUUUUUGCAAGUGAUCCCUGUACUUAAAGAUAUAUAAAAUAACAUAUUUGGAUCUCCUAGGGGUCAGUGGUAGACCUGCUAAGUUACUACUUUUCUUGGCUAGCCCAACCCUGGAUUUGCCACGUAGGGGAAGGAAAGAAAAAAGGAAAAGAAAAGGAAAGGAAAGCAAAGAAAAGAAAAGAAAGAGAGAGAGAGAGAAAGGAAGAAAAGAAAGAAAGAAAGAAAGAAAGAAAGAAAGAAAGAAAGAAAGAGAAAGAAAGAAAGAAAAGAGAGGAAGAGAGGGAGGGAGGGAGGAAGGAAGGGAGAAGGAGAGAAAGAGAGAAAGGAAAGAAGAAAGAAGAGAGAAAGAAAAAAAGCAGACAGAAAGAGAGAAAUAAAGAAAGAAAGAAAAGUAAAGAAAAGAAAAGAAAAGAAAAAGAAAAGAAAAAGUAUAAAGAUCUUAGAAACCAAGGAUCCUGUGAUGAUAAAAGAUUGUUGUGACGUGGUGUGGAGAGGAAAGUAAAGUCUAGGGCAGAUGGGGGCUGGAUGCCACAGAUGAGAGAUACAAUGGAAGAACAACAAAGCUGGGACCAAAGUAAAUAUAAGUGUAACGCAAAUAUGAAAAAUGUAAAAUAAGAAUAAACAUAAUUACAAGCUUUACGGAAGAAUAAGGUUAACCUGAAACAGCACAAAGCAGUUAUAAGAAUAAAACAAAGUGGAAUUACACUUAGGAAAAAUUUACCUGUGAGGCAAGGAGAAAAUGGCAUGAAGUAAUCAUGAUUAGAUGGUAGACCUAAAUAUACUCUGUUAUAUAGAUUUGAUUUUGACAUAAUAUAUAUAACCAUGAAGAAACUAAAUUUAAAAAAGCAAUUCAAAUGUUUAAAGCAAAAUUAAAUGAAUGUAAAUGUAUAUCCAGUUUGUAGCAUAAUCACACUGAGAAGAACCCUUUCUAAUGACUCUAAUGCAAAGAAAUUUGAUUAUACAUCUUUGGGGCAACAUAUCAUAAGGACAAAAAACCUGAAAAUAAAUUAAUUAAAUAAACUGUUUUUAGUAAUCAUACUAUAAGUGGUAAUAUUGUUAUUCAAUAUAUGACUAUUACAAAAGUAUUUUAGAAUAAAGAGGAUCAGAAAUUGUAUGAGUCUAGAGAUACUGGCAUUUGGAGCAAAGGAAAGGAGAAAUUGAUAUCAAUGUAUUUCCUUUAAAUUUAUGUUAAAAUCUGUAGUCCUGAAUUUGAGUUGGAAACAUGAAAAUGAAUUCAUAAAAUAUUUGAUACUGAAAUAGAAUGUAUCUUCUAGCUAUUAUUAAUACAAAACCAGUAGCAAGACACUCCCCUAGUGCCCAUCUUGUGGUCUCUAAAUACCAGUUUUCACUAAAAGAAACUGCAGCCUCUUAAAGGAAUGUGUAAUUUGAGGUCUAGACUAUGAAAUGUAUAAAAAGAAACUGAAAAAUUCUGUCUUAUUAAUCACCAAACAAGAAAGUUACCAAAAACUUCUGAGAGUGAAUCAAAAGCACUUAGGAGUAAACUAAAGAGGCUCCUACUGACCAAAGAUGGAGCAAAAUGAACAUCAAGAAGAAUAAUGAUUACAAUGGACUUAAAGAUAUCAAAUUUAUAUAAAUCCAUUUGUAUGCAACGAUACUUAGAACAAAGAACAGCAAAAUUAAAACAACCUCAUUGGUCACCUUUGGAGAAUGCCAGGUGUUGAAAUUAUUACUUAGGAAACUAGUAAACAAACGGAAAGAAUCAAGCAACUAUCUUUCCUUUGCUAUAUGAAUUAACUUUAGAUUAAGCAAGGAGUUGGUUAAAGUUUCUCUUUAUAAAGUGUGUUGGUUUCCUAAGGUUGCUGUAAAAAAUAUGACAAACUGGGGGGUACCUUAAAACAACAGAAACUUAUUUUCUCAAAGUUCUGAAAGCCAGAGCCCAAAAUCAAAGUGUUAGUCAUACCCCCUCCAGAGCCUCCAGAGGAGGAUUCUUGUCUCUUCCAGCUUCUGGUGGCUGCAGGACUUCCUUGGCAUGUAGCAGUAGAACUUCAGGCUCUCCCUCCCUCUGUCUUCACAUGGCCAUCUUUCUCUUGUUUCUGUUUGUGUCCAAAUUUCUUCUCCAAUUAAUUAUUCGACCAUUUCCUAUUAUCAGUCGAAGACCGGAAGCCUUGAGAGUCAGGUUCAGCAGGAGCCUUCAAGUCCUGUGAUAACGUUAGAAAGUCUUUCCCGAGAGCCCAAGUAACAUUAGCUGAACUGACAUUCACCAGUAGGGGGAUGCAUCUCUGCACAACAGAAAAAGAAGUCUGGGAGCACCUCACUAAAGACAAUCUCAUAGGUAGGAAUCAGUUUUGACCAACAUCUAGCAUGCUCUUUCUUACUCUCUUCUCUCAAUAGAUAAAUAAAUAUAUACCGAUAGAUGUACAUAUAUAUCUUCUUGAAAAUUUUUUCUUGUUCCCAGAACCUAACAUUCCAGCUUAGUCAAGUUUAGGAGAAUAGACCCCUGCUUGAGAAAUAUUAUAUUAAUUUUUCAUGGGGUUUUACAUCUCAUAAUAAGCUACUUGUGUGAUGAUCCAUUUUCAUUUUUCAUUAGGAUGUCCUCUGAAUUCCCUUUUUGCUCAUUAGCUCUCUCACUGUCCACCUUUAUCUCUGCUGUUUGCUCCGGCUCUGCAGCUCCUCUCAGCAGCCGGCUCCCACGCACAGCUGCACAGCCAGUCUGCAAGGUAAGCUCUCCCUUACAGUUUUAGCAGCUCAAUUCUUUCCCUCUGGGCACAAGCUGAUUCCUGGCUUCCCACUGCCCCCCUUCAAGGUGACCAGCUCUUCCUUACACUGGUCAGUAGUGCUGAGAGGUGACAGCGUGCUGGCAGUCCUCACAGCCCUCGCUCGCUCUUGGCGCCUCCUCUGCCUGGGCUCUCACUUUGGCAGCACUUGAGGAGCCCUUCAGCCCACCGCUGCACUGUGGGAGCCCCUUUUUGUGCUGGCCAAGGCCGGAGCAGGCUCCCUCAGCUUGCAGGGAGGUGUGGAGGGAGAGGCAAGAGCGGGAACCCGGGCUGCGCGCGCGCUUGCGGGCCAGCUGGAGUUUCCGGUGGGCGUGGGCUUGGCGGGCCCCGCACUCGGAGCAGCCGGCGGGCCCUACCGGCCCCGGGCAAUGAGGGGCUUAGCACCCGGGC